GCCGGCUCCUCGCGCCCCUACCCGCUGCGCUCUGCCCAGAGCAGAAGCCCGGCCGGCCGGCCCACGGGCGGGAGGACGCGCCUCCGCUCGGGCGGAGGCGGCGCGGUGGCUGAUCAGAGCGCGUAGGGCUUCGCCGGGGCCGGGAGCUGGGCGCGGUCCUGCUCAGCCCAGCUCACCGCGCGCCGGCCCUCGGCGCCCUGGUUCUGCGGAUCAGGAGUUGAAACCAGCACCUUCCCUUUCUCUGAGUCCUGCCUCCUUCUGCAGAAGGGAGCUCAAAAGAACUUUGUUGUUUUGCCUUUUACUCUGGGGUGAAAGCGGCAGGAGGUAUGUGAGAUGGUGAAAUGAUUUGCUUCUGCCAUGCUGGGGUCACGGGUGGAUCGCCCUAAACUCUCGGUGGCCCCCUCAGUAGUUUUGGAAGAGGACCAAGUCCUUGUCUCUCCAGCAGUGGACCUGGAAGAAGGAUGCCGGCUCAGGGACUUCACUCACUAUUCACUAUAGCAAAGACUUGAAAUCAACCCAAAUGCCCAUCAAUGAUAGACUGGAUAAAGAAAAUGUGGCACAUAUACACCAUAGAAUACUAUGCAGCCAUAAAAAAGGAUGAGUUCAUGUCCUUUGCUGGGACAUGGAUGAAGCUGGAAACCAUCAUUCUCAGCAAACUAACACAGGAACAGAAAACCAAACACCGCAUGUUCUCACUCGAGAAAAUAAUGAAUGUCAAAGGAAAAGUAAUUCUGUCAAUGCUGGUUGUCUCAACUGUGAUCAUUGUGUUUUGGGAAUUUAUCAACAGCACAGAAGGCUCUUUCUUGUGGAUAUAUCACUCAAAAAACCCAGAAGUUGAUGACAGCAGUGCUCAGAAGGGCUGGUGGUUUCUGAGCUGGUUUAACAAUGGGAUCCACAAUUAUCAACAAGGGGAAGAAGACAUAGAC
rnacentral:lncRNA from 1 species